CUUGGAAUCUUCAUCAGGAUAUGCACCUGAUACGUGGCAACUUCAUCUCCAUACUGGGUUUGACCACGACGGCCCCUGCAGUUUUGGUACCUCGAGUUGAAAAUACCGCCCCAGAGCCUUGCUACUCCAAAUGUGGUGUUUGGACCAGCACAACGGGUACUGCCUGAGAGCUUCUGAAUGCUUGCUUUAGAAGAAGCCAACCUCUGUGGAUGAAUUUCAACUCACCAGAGACUGCCAAGCUGUGAUGAAGACAAACUGGCUCCACGGAGAGGCUAUGUGUAAAGAAGAACAUCUGGUCAUUUGCUGCCUGUUCCAGUCAUCCCAGCUGAAGAGCUAGGCAUGAGAGUAAGCACUUCAUCUUGAACAGCCAACUCAUCCAAGCCUUCAGAGACUCCAGCCCAGCCACCAUCUGUUCAUAACUGUAUUAAAGAGCUAUAGUGGGAAUUGUCCAACUGGGCCCAGUCAGCCCAUAGGUAUAAUAAUAGGUAUAAUAAUAGAUGAUUAUUUUAUGUUACUUACAUUGGGGGAAAUGAUUUGUUACAUGCCAGUAGAUUACAGAAACC